CCCACCGCUAACUUCGCCCCUUCGAGAAAGCCAAAAGAAAAUUCAUGUUGACAAGGUAUAUUAUCUUCAAUCUCUAAAAAGUUUGGUUGCGUCCAAGGAUAAAUUUUUCAUAAAACUGACAACGGGCAAAAAUAAUUUUUUAGCAGUAGACGUAAGAGAAAGAAAGAAAACACUCGUUUCAUUUUUAAGUGUUUGGUGUGACAAGCUGAUUGUAAUAUUUCUAGUUCUUUUUCUUUCCUCGUGAGUAUUCCUCCGUAGUUCUCCUUGGUCAUCCAAAAUUACGAGAGAUUGCAACAAUAUGACUGGGAACAAACGGGACAUACCCAAUCAACCAGCAAAGCACUCCUUUGCCAUUGUCAAGUUCCAUUUGCCUGGCAAUUCCUACCAAUUUAAUAUAGCCCAUCUGGACUGGCUAAGAAAGUCGGGCAACAGGAACACUUGUUACUGGCCUAGUGAGGAUGAAGUCCGAAGUUCAACCCAGUUGGUGACUUUAAUCAACAAGAAUGCAGUGGUGGAUAAAGAAACAUGGCCAGUCUUCAUCGCUACCGUCAUUGCCAAAUUUGAUACAUACAAGAGGCACAAGAUAAACUAAAAGACGGAUAAACUGAAGAGUUAUUGCUGGCGAAGCGGUUGUCAGCACUGACUUAGAAAAAAGGGGAAAGGAUGGCAGAAGCGCAGCAAAAAAAUGCAAAACAGCUGCUACCUUGACGCCUGUUCUCAUUGCAUCCACCUGUGCUAAUUCCUGUGCUAAUGCUAUCUUGUCUGAUGGUGAACCUUCUCCUUCUAAUAUUUCACCUCAUAUGUCCCCGAGUACUGCUCCAAAGGAUGCUCCAACAGAUUACGGGCUGAACGGUCACUGUGAGUUUUACUGGGCUCCCAGUAAUUCUCACAUCUGAUGAUGAACAUGGCCGUUCCAGCACGCAACGUGAAUAAAAACAAAUAAUAAGAUCAAGAAGAGCUGGAAACAAACACCAAGACAUUUCAGUGGCCACCCUCCUAAGGAUUCCGUCAGCGCCGGCAUUUGAACCUCAGCAGAGGGCCCUUACUCCUCAUGUUGCGUUUGCCAAAAAAUCUGUGCCAACAGGAAUCUAUAAAAGAAUUUUAAUUUUGACUGUUGUUAAUCUAAUCAUAUUUAUUGAUAACCAAGUUGCGGCUAGGGAUCCGACAACGUCUCUGAUGUCCCCGUGUGAUGCGAAAAAGCUGGACGAUAUUCUUCAAACCAACAUCACAAUUCUCCGUGGCCUGAAACAAGUAAAAUCUACACAAGCGGACAUACAGAACACGCUGUCAGUGAUCAUGACCAACACGAUCCCCUCUGAUCCGUGAAUUACUGGGGAUUAAAGACGACCUUUGCUUGCGAGUAAAGUCCCUGACAGCGUUUGAUCGUAUCAAUCUUAUUAUCCGAGAAGACAAAACCAAAAGAUUAAAACUGAAAUCGUAUUUGACUGGUGUGGAAGGCACGGAGCAUAGAAUUGUGGGUAAGGUGCUCCACAAACUCAUGAGGUACAGCGUCGCAUCGCAGUUUUGCUUUAAGGGCCAAAACCAGGAGAAAAGGUGUUUCUGCACCACUGCAGUUGCAGCUGUCGCUAUCGAAAGUCUCCGUGCAACAGGUGUUGUACGACUGACGGAAGAGCAAAUUGCAGUGAAGAUUGGGAGGCGACGAUAAGAGUGAUGACGAUGGCGAUUCGUCCCCGGAAAACUAAGACAAAGAUCCAUUCGAGUACAAGAGAUUGUCAAUUAAUCCACUUUUGUCGGUUCUCAUGCAGUUACUUGGAAUUCCAUUUCUGUUUUUCUUCCCUGUAUUUCCCGUUAUCACGGUAUCAAUAAUGUGACUUUAUCAACGCAAUAAUCCAGUGAAUUAAA